GUCCCUGUAGCGCAAUGCAUAGCGCGUUGGACUUCUAAUCCAAAGGUCAUGGGUUGGACUUCCACUUGGGAUG